rnacentral:rRNA from 1 species
UACGAAGGGGGCUAGCGUUGCUCGGAAUCACUGGGCGUAAAGCGCACGUAGGCGGACUCUUAAGUCGGUGGUGAAAUCCUGGAGCUCAACUCCAGAACUGCCUUUGAUACUGAGAAGCUUGAGUCCGGGAGAGGUGAGUGGAACUGCGAGUGUAGAGGUGAAAUUCGUAGAUAUUCGCAAGAACACCAGUGGCGAAGGCGGCUCACUGGCCCGGUACUGACGCUGAGGUGCGAAAGCGUGGGGAGCAAACAGG